rnacentral:rRNA from 1 species
AAUUGACCUCGGAUCAGGUAGGGAUACCCGCUGAACUUAAGCAUAUC